GAUGAACGCUGGCGGCGUGCCUAAUACAUGCAAGUCGAGCGAACAGACGAGGAUCUUGCUCCUCUGACGUUAGCGGCGGACGGGUGAGUAACACGUGGAUAACCUACCUAUAAGACUGGGAUAACUUCGGGAAACCGGAGCUAAUACCGGGUAAUAUAUUGAACCGCAUGGUUCAAUAGUGAAAUACGGUUUUGCUGUCACUUAUAGAUGGAUCCGCGCCGCAUUGGCUAGUUGUUAAGGUAACGGCUUACCAAGGCAACGAUGCGUAGCCGACGUGAGAGGGUGAUCGGCCACACUGGAACGGGAACACGGUCAAGACUCCUACGGGAGGCAGCAGUAGGGAAUCUGACGCAAUGGGCGAAAGUCUGACGGAGCAACGGCGCGUGAGUGAUGAAGGUCUUCGGAUCGUAAAACUCUGUUAUUAGGGAAGAACAAAUGUGUAAGUAACUAUGCACGUCUUGACGGUACCGGAUAAGAAAGCCACGGCUAACUACGUG
rnacentral:rRNA from 1 species